rnacentral:sRNA from 1 species
GUGCGCAGAAGUAGUUGUUGGAAAUCGGCCGUUGGGAUGCUAAGCUUGGAUACCUGAGUAAUAACGGACAACAGAUAAAGCUCCGCAUCCUUGCGCCGCGUGCUUCGGUCCGUGGUUUGCGUGCAGACGUUUGACCUGUAUGGUGACCCUCGCGAUUUGCGAAUGUGCUGAGGAUCUGGAAUACUGAAGUGGAAGGCACCUCUUGUUUUGGGGAGCAUGUAUAUUUCCCUCCUGUGACGUACUGCUUCCACAGAGAGGUGCAAACGUGCAAACGCUCAGCGACCGCAGCGCUCCUGCCCCUCCCCCACCGUAACUCCGGGGUCGCGGAUCUGCCCGCCCCGCUCUCCCGAAGCUGUUCGGGCAGUGUCCGAACGGCUUCGGAGGGGCGAGAAGCCGGCAUCUGAGCGGCCUCUCUGGAAUACCAGCAGCCUGACGCACGCGUGCUGUCGGCGGAGGGACGCUGGGACAGCUGCUCCCGCACACGGCUCGCGGUCUCGGCGCCGCGGAGAUGCCCGGCCAGGGUCCAGGGUCCGACUGGACGGAGCGUAGCUCUUCUGCAGAGCCGCCCGCAGUGGCCGGGACCGAGGGUGGCGGCGGCGGAUCAGCUGGAUACUCUUGUUACCAGAAUUCCAAAGGUUCUGAUAGAAUCAAAGAUGGAUACAAAGUGAACUCACACAUAGCUAAGCUGCAAGAGUUAUGGAAAACUCCCCAAAAUCAAACAAUCCACCUCCCUAAAUCAAUGAUGGAGGCGUCCUUUUUCAAGCAUCCAGACCUCACCACAGGCCAGAAGCGUUACCUGUGCAGCAUUGCUAAAAUCUAUAAUGCAAACUAUCUGAAGAUGUUAAUGAAGAGGCAGUACAUGCACGUACUUCAGCACAGCUCACAAAAGCCAGGCAGGUGCACCUCCAGUUGUCUUUUCACUAGUUUUUACAAUUAGUGAGAGGGUCUUUUAACAGGUGAUUUGUAUCACAGGUGUCCUCACUCAUCACAGAAGCCGCCUUAGCUCCCGUUACUCACAGAAACAGCAUUACCCUUGCACUACAUGGCGACAUCAACUGGAGAGAGAGGACUCGGGGUCUUCUGAUAUCGCAGCUGCAUCUGCACCUGAAAUGCUCAUACAGCAUUCCCUUUGGCGGCCAGUGAGAAACAAAGAAGGGUCUGUUUCUUAGUGUAAAAGGGGGGAAAUGCAUCUCAGUUUAAUUUUUUUUUUUCUCAGACAGGGUCUUGUUCUCUCACCCAGGCUGGAGUGUAGUGGUGUGAUAUAGUUUACUGUAUUCUCAAACUCCUGGGCUCAAGCAAUGCUCCUGCCUCAGACUCCCAAGUAGCUAGGGCUAAAGGCACAAACCACCAUGCCCUGCUAGUUAAAAAAAAUUGUUGGUACAGAAAGCAUCUCACUAUGUUGGCCAAGGUACUCUCACCUCCGCCUCCCAAAGCACUGGGAUUACAGGCGUGAGCUACUGUGCCCAGCCUUCCCCAUCUCUUUUGAAGGGUAGCUAAGUGAUAUUAAUGCUUGUGUUCCCUAAUAUAUUCACUUUGCUAAAUUCAGAAUAGGCUGGACUUUUAAAAAGCAGAGAUACUUUUUUUUUUUGAGACCGAGUUUCGCUCUUGUUGCCCAGGCUAAAGUGCACUGGCGCGAUCUCGGCUCACCGCAACCUCCACUUCCCGGGUUCAAGCGAUUCUCCUGCCUCAGCCUUCCUGAGUAGCUGAGAUUACGGGCAUGCGCCACCAUGCCCGGCUAAUUUUGUAUUUUUA